rnacentral:tRNA from 4 species
GCUCCUAUAACUCAGGUGGAUAGAGUGCAGGACUUCGAAUCCUGAUGCCCCCCGUUCAAAUCGGGGUAGGAGUACCA